GGCGCUAUAGCCAAGUGGUUACGGCGACAGAUUAGAACGCGGUGAUCCUCCAUUCGACACUACUAUCUGUUCCUCUUUGAGGGCGCAGGUUCAAAUCCUGCUGGCGUCG